ensembl:lncRNA
CGGCUAUGAGGCAAACCCCAUGUAUCUCCACGUCAGAGUCCAGACACCAUCACAUCCUGGGGAAAGGAGCCUGUACAAGAGGCCAAGAGGUGGAAGCCACCUGAAUGUCCACCGAGAGGAACGGAUAGAGAAGAUCCUUAAAUACAAUGGAACACUACUCAGCCGUCAAAAAGAACGAAACCAGGCCAUUCUCAGCAGCAUGGAUGGGGCUGGAGAUGGUCCUACUAAGUGAGGUGGCUUUCCUUCUGGUCCUCGUACUGGCCGAGGGGCCCUGGGGAGCAGAGCUGCAGGAGCUUCCGUGGACACGCCCAAGGGAGAAGUCCACCAUGUGCGUCCAGAGACAGGACCCUUCAGAAGGAAGGUCCCUGGAGUGAGAGGCAUGUGCCAGCCUGGUGGCUCUUGGACAAAGCCAGGACCUCACUGAACCCUCUUCCGAUUCCCGGUCUUCCAAAGUCUUCUGAGUUCUUACAGAUCCUCAAGGGGAACGUCUGUAGAUCUGUCUGGUGCUUCGUCCGGUUUUCCCACUCUCUAACAUGCAUCACAGACGGCAACCAUGUUUAUCCAGAAUUUUAUAACACUGC